CCUACGGGAGGCAGCAGUGGGGAAUAUUGCACAAUGGGGGAAACCCUGAUGCAGCGACGCCGCGUGAGUGAGGAAGGAUUUCGGAAUGUAAAGCUCUAGCAGCAGGGAAGAAAAUGACGGUAGCUGACUAAGAAGCCCCGGCUAACUACGUGCCAGCAGCCGCGGGAAUACGGAGGGGGCAAGCGUUAUCCGGAUUUACUGGGCGUAAAGGGAGCGUAGGCGGCAGGACAAGUCAGGAGUGAAAUCCCGGGGCUUAACCCCGGAACUGCUUUGGAAACUGUGCGGCUGGAGUGCAGGAGGGGUAAGCGGAAUUCCUCUUGUAGCGGUGCAAUCCGUAGAUAUUCGGAGGAA
rnacentral:rRNA from 1 species